GAGACAAAUCCUGUCCCAGGAGCCACAAGCUUGUAUAUAGAAAGUUGAAGAGAAGAUUGAUCCUGCAGAGUACCUUGCCAAAAAGUUUGACACAAAACCACAGAGAACCACAAAAGUGUCACACUGAUGUAUUGGACAUUUCAAAACAAAAGGUAAGCUGG